rnacentral:rRNA from 1 species
CCUACGGGUCGCAGCAGUGGGGAAUAUUGGGCAAUGGGCGCAAGCCUGACCCAGCGACGCCGCGUGCGGGAUGACGCUUCUCGGAGUGUAAACCGCUGUCAGAGGGGACGAACGGCCCGGGUGGGAAUACUGCCCGGGAUUGACGGUACCCUCAAAGGAAGCGCCGGCUAACUCCGUGCCAGCAGCCGCGGUAAUACGGAGGGCGCAAGCGUUGUUCGGAAUCACUGGGCGUAAAGCGCGCGCAGGCGGGUGUGCAAGUCGGAAGUGAAAUCCCGGGGCUCAACUCCGGGGCUGCUGCUGAUACUGCAUGUCUAGAGACCAGUAGGGGUUGGUGGAAUUCCCGGUGUAGCGGUGGAAUGCGUAGAUAUCGGGAAGAACACCUGUGGCGAAGGCGGCCAACUGGGCUGGAUCUGACGCUGAGGCGCGAAAGCGUGGGGAGCAAACAGGAUUAGAUACCCGUGUAGUC